rfam:Lactobacillus kunkeei strain LAko contig007, whole genome shotgun sequence.
GGUAUUGUUUGCCCCACAAUAAGCCCCGGAAACUUAUAUUGGUGUCGAACAAACACAGA